UCUGGCCACAUUUCAAGAGCUCCAUAGCCCCACGUGGCGGCUAGCAGCUGCUGUAUUGGACAGUACAGUCCUACAGCUCCUCAUCUGUGACCUGUUUUGUGCUCUGGUUCUCAAACUCGACUGCACUGGAAUCAUCAGAGGAGCUUAAAGGAAUGCUACCUUGGUGGUCCCACCUCAAAUACUGACACAUCGGAGGUCUGAGUGCUGCUGGGGAAUCAGGAGUUCUAAAGGCUCUCCAGGAUGCCUAAGGACUCAACUGAUCUUCAAUGAGAUUCCUGAAACUAACAAGAAAACAUUAGAGGAAAUAAAAAAGAGGGACACUAUAAAAACUUACUGGCUUAUACUCUCCAAAAUUGUCAAGGCCAUGAAGACAAAACCAAGAAAUUGUUCCUGAUUAAAGGAGACUAAAGACUAGAGACCUAACAACUAAAUUAAUUGGAGAUUCUGGAUUGGAUCCAGGACCUAGACAAAAAAUUGUUUUUCUUUUGCUACAAAGGACAUUAAUGGUACAACUGAUAGAUUUGAAUAAGUUCUGUAGAUUAUAGUAUCAUAGCAGUGUAAAUUUCUGAUUUUGAUAAUUAUAUAAUUUCAUAUGAGACUAAAUUUUCUGAUUUUGAUAAUUACAUAAUUUUAUAUGAGACUAAUUAUUUUGUAUGUCCUUAAGAAAAAAACAACCAACUCUAUGGAAGUAAAGCAGCAUCAUAUCUGCAACUUUCUUUCUUUUUUUUUUUUUUCUGAGACAGAGUUUCACUCUUGUUGCCCAGGCUGGAGGGCAAUGGCACGAUCCUGGCUCACUGCAACCUCCACCUACUGGGUUCAAGCGAUUCUCCUGCCUCAGCUUCCCGAGUAGCUGGGAUUACAGGCAUGUGCCACCAUGCCUGGCUAAUUUUGUAUUUUUAGUAGAGAUGGGGUUUCUCCAUGUUGGUUAGCCUGGUCUCGAACUCCCAACCUGAGGUGAACCGCCCGCCUUGGCCUCCCAAAGUGCUGGGAUUACAGGCAUGAGCCAUGGCGCCCGGCCAGAUCUGCAACUUUCAAUUAAUUCAGAAGAAAAUUUUUUUAGAGAAAAAAUAAAUGGAAAAAUAUUGACAUUUGGGAAGUCUGGGUAAAAUAAAAGGGUACAUAAAACUUUGUGUACUCUUUAUGUCUUUUCUGUAAAUUUAAAAUUUUUUAAAAAUAAAAAAUGGCAGAAUAUCUAAUGUCCACUCCUACAGUUAAGAAUAUGCGGCCAGGCAUGGUGGCUCAUGUCUGUAAUCCCAGCACUUUGGGAGGCCAAGGCGGGUGGAUGACCUGAGGUCAGCAGUUCGAGACCAGCCUGGCCAACGUGGGGAAGCCCCAUCUCUACUAAAAAUACAAAAAUUAGCCAGGUGUGGUGGCAGGCACCUGUAAUCCCAGCUACUAGGGAGGCUGAGGCAGAGGUUGCAGUGAGCCGAGAUCAUGCCAUUGCACUCCAGCCUGGACAACAAGAGCGAAACUCUGUCUCAAAAAAAAAAAAAAAAAUGCAACCAAAAAAAAGGUCUUUAACCCCAAAUCACCAAAAAUUAUACAACACUGAACAUAUUUGAAUGUGUAAAUGAUACAAUCAAG
rnacentral:lncRNA from 10 species